rnacentral:rRNA from 1 species
GUCUACGAUCAUACCACCCUGAACAUGCCCUGUCUUGUCUGUUCUCAGAAGCUAAGCAGGGUCAGGCCUCAUUAGUACUUGGAUGGGAGACCGCCUAGGAACAGUGGGUGCUGUAGGCU